UACUCUCGGCAGUGGAUCACUUGGCUCGUGCAUCGAUGAAGAACGCAGCUAGCUGCGAUAAUUAAUGUGACAUGCAGGGGCACACUGAUCAUCGACACUUCAAACGCACCUUGCGGCCCCGGGUUUGCUCCCAGGGCCACGCCUGUCUGAGGGUCA